AUUAUUAUAAAAAGUUGUAAAUAAUCUAGUGACGAUUGUAGGAUUAAAAAGUCCACUUGAGCAGCCACACCACGCGUCGACCUGAUAACAGAUGGACAAGCAAACUAACAGAACAGGAUUGCUAGGAGUCAGGUCAGACAAGAGGAGAGAUGAGCCUUUGCCGGGGCGUCGCGGAGCCACAAACAUCAGCCAAGGAGAAGAAGGACACUGACUGGAAACACCUUUGUCGCGGAGGUGACGAACAGUGACUCCUGACGCUGCUGACUUACUGACGGGGAGAUGCGUGCCUUACCUCGGCCCUGAUGUUGGUCGGGAAGUACUCGACCGCCAGCACCAAAGGAAUGUUGGCGAUGCCCAGGCCGGCCCCGAAGG